CUAUAAAGAGGGCUUUGGGAUGUAUGGCCACUGGGAGGCUUUCGGGGACAGAAAACUGUUCUCACGGGACGGACUUCACCUGAGUAGGGAAGGAAAUAGACUUCUGGGAGGGAGGCUGGCUCAUCUCAUCAAAAGAGCUUUAAACUAGGAAUUUGGGGGAGACGGCUGGGAGAUGUCCAGUUAAUCUCCACACCAGAUUAUAACAUGGAGAGGGAGGACAAUGAGAUAAGAACAGAUAUAGCCGGGGGGAAGAGAUUGGACAUAAGGGGCGGGGGGAUGGAUACUAGACUAAUAGGUCAUACUAGCAGUACGGUGUCCAUACCAAAUGGGAUAACGAAUGUGAGAGAGGCCAGACGGCAUAAAUUAAGAUGUUUAUACACCAAUGCGAGAAGCCUAGGUAACAAAAUGGAAGAAUUGGAGCUCCUGGUCCAAGAAAUGAAACCGGAUAUCGUAGGAAUAACUGAAACGUGGUGGAACGGUAGUCAUGACUGGAGUACAGGUAUGGAAGGGUAUGUGCUGUUUAGGAAAGACCAGAUCAAAGGUAAAGGUGGGGGAGUAGCAUUGUAUGUCAAUAAUGAGGUAAACUGUAAAGAAAUAAUAAGUGAUGGAAUGGAUAAGACAGAGUCUGUCUGGGCAAUACUCACAUUGGGUAAAAGAACUACUAGAGCCUCCCCUGGGAUAGUGCUUGGGGUGUGCUAUAGACCGCCGGGAUGUAGCCUGGAUAUGGACAGAGAACUCUUUAACGUUUUUAGGGAAGUAAAUUCUAAUAGGAACUGUGUAAUCAUAGGAGACUUUAACUUCCCGGAUAUAGAUUGGGGAACAAAUGCUAGUAACAAUAAUAGGGCUCAGAUUUUCCUAGACGUGACAGCUGAUGAAUUCCUUCAUCAAGUAGUUGCUGAACCAAAGAGGGGGGAUGCCAUUUUAGAUUUGGUUUUGGUGAGUAGUGAGGACCUCGUUGAGGAAAUGGUUGUAGGGGACAACCUUGGCUCGAGUGAUCAUGAGCUAAUUCGGUUUAAACUAAAUGGAAAGAUUAACAGAAUUAAAUCGGAGACUAAAGUUUACGAUUUCAAAAGGGCUAACUUUAAUAAAUUAAGGGGACUAGUUAGGGAAGUGGAUUGGACUAACAUAUUUAGGGAUCUAAAGGCGGAAGGCGCCUGGGAUUAUUUCAAGUUGAAGUUGCAGGAGCUGUCGGAGGCCUGUAUCCCGAGAAAGGGAAAACGGUUCGUAGGCAGGAGAUUUAGAGCAAGCUGGAUGAGCAAGCAUCUCAGAGGGGUCAUUAAGAAAAAACAGAAAGCGUACAGGGAGUGGAAGAUGGGAGGGAUCAGCAAAGAAACCUACCUUAUUGAGGUCAGAGCAUGUAGAGAUGGAAUGAGAAAAGCCAAAAGCCGUGUAGAGUUGGACCUUGCAAGGGGAAUUAAAAGAUGGAGUGGAGAUUAAGGAUAAUCUAGGCAUGGCACAAUAUCUAAAUGAAUAUUUUGCAUCGGUAUUUAAUGAGGCUAAUGAAGGGCUGAGGAAUAGUGGAAGUGAGACGGAUGGGAAUAAAGGAGUGGGGGUUGACA
ensembl:lncRNA